rnacentral:lncRNA from 1 species
GGCAACCGGCUCGGGUCCCAGUCCACACUGUGGAAGGUUUGUUCUUUCACUCUUUGCAAUAAAUCUUGCUGCUGCUCACUCUUUGGGUCCACACUGUUUUUAUGAGCUGUAACACUCACCGCGAAAGUCUGCAGCUUCACUCCUGAGCCAGCGAGACCACGAGCCCACCAGGAGGAACGAACAACUCCAGACCCGCUGCCUUAAGAGCUGUUAACAGUCACCGCGAAGGUCUGCAGCUUCACUCCUGAGCCAGCGAGACCACGAGCCCACCUGGAGGAACGAACAACUCCAGACCCGCUGCCUUAAGAGCUGUAGCAGUCACCACGAAAGUCUGCAGCUUCACUCCUGAGCCAGCGAGACCGCGAACCCACCAGAAGGAAGAAAUUCCGAACAUAUCCGAACAUCAGAAGGAACAAACUCCAGACGCGCCACCUUAAGAGCUGUAACACUCACCGCGAGGGUCCGCGGCUUCAUUCUUGAUGUCAGCAAGACCAAGAACCCACCAAUUCUGGACACAAAACCUCAAGUAGUCCCUCCACCGAAAGCACAUUAUAAGGAUCAUUUUGCCUCAAAGCCCUCCUACAGGCAAGAGGAGCUUACUGUGACUUCCAAGAAGAAAAUGAUGUUGUGGCAUGAAGCACUUCUCUGAUCAUAUCACUGCUGUACUAAAGGUAUGGAAUGUAUUCGGUGUUGAGGAGUUUGGACAGUACAGCAGCAGCUGCUCUAGGUAAGAUAAUCAGGGCAGUCCAUUCUGAGAAGAUUGCAUAAUAUACACACACAGAAAUAUAUAAAUAAUUUAAAGGCACAGUCUUAUUUUUGUAUGACAUGCUUGUUUGUCACAGUAGGAAUAAUUGUCUUCAUCAUUUCUUGGUCAUUUUCUUGCUUAGUAAUGUUGAUCCUGAAGAUCAAGUAUAUUUUCAAAAAUGCUUAAGCAUGGAGUAAGAGAACAAUGUAAAUUGUUCUCUCUCUCCCUGUCUUUCUCUCUUUUCUCUCUCUCUCUCCCUCUCUCUCACACACACACACUCUCACUCUAUCUCCACACACACACACACACACACACACAUCAACAUUCUGAAUGCCACAUAAAAAAUUUCUGAGACCUUUCAUUUCUAUGACUUGAUUUAUGGACAAUAAACUUCAGUCAUGUAAUAAAAUGUAACUUAGUUUAUGCAUGGAAAAUAUAACUUAGAAAAUCACCAUCUGUAUACUAAAAAUAAAUUGAUGGACACAGAUAACAGGGGAUACAGUACAAUACAGUUACAGAAACACAGUAAUCUUGUAAGUGGUAAGCAAAUUGGACUUCGAGUAUAGAUAACACAUAUUUGUUAUUGUUUUUCAAGUUAUUUGUAAUUUUAUUUUCUCCAAAUCUCUAUUCUCUGAUUAGUCUAUUUCCAGAUGGCAUAAUUAUGUUUCCAAAUUUCUAAGAUUCUGCCCUUGUGGUUUAACUUGUUUUAUUUAUACCAGAGCAGCUGACUUCAACAGCUGUUUUUUUCCUGGAAUAGAUUUUAGUCAAUAGUUUGCCAUUUCCAUCAAUUCAGAUCAUCUGAUUUACUAUAGUAGAAUAUUUCUAUGAGUAUUUUAGGAGUUUUCCUUGUACUUGAAAUGAAAAUUUAACAUUAGAUUUUCAAGUUGUUUGUCCAGUAUCUCCCUGAAACUUUUUAAUGGACCAAAAUAAUACAUACUCAUUUGGCAUUGAUAUUACCAAUUGAAUAAUAUGGAUUACUAAUUGCUCUUAUGAUAGGUAAUCAUCCAUAUCUUUGCCACUUUUUAUUAAAUUCAGAUGUCUUAUGUUUCUUACAUGUCAAUGAUAAGUUGUGUUGGAAUAUUUUCCCAUUUAUGC